CCCGCCGGCGACCGGCGCACGGGUGAGUAACACGUAUGAAACCUGCCCGUAGCAGGGGGAUAAGCGGAAGAAAUUCCGUCUAAUACCGCGUAACAACCCAUGGAGGCAUCUCUGUGGGUUUAAAGGAAGCGAUUCCGGCUACGGAUGGUCAUGCGUCGCAUUAGCUUGUUGGCGGGGUAACGGCCCACCAAGGCGACGAUGCGUAGGGGUUCUGAGAGGAAGGUCCCCCACACUGGUACUGAGACACGGACCAGACUCCUACGGGAGGCAGCAG
rnacentral:rRNA from 1 species